ACGCUCGACACCUACGGGAAGCAGCAGUGGGGAAUAUUGCACAAUGGAGGAAACUCUGAUGCAGCGAUGCCGCGUGAGGGAAGAAGGUUUUCGGAUUGUAAACCUCUGUCUUUGGGGACGAUAAUGACGGUACCCAAGGAGGAAGCUCCGGCUAACUACGUGCCAGCAGCCGCGGUAAUCUGAGCGGGCUGGCAAGGC
rnacentral:rRNA from 1 species